UUGGUGGCUGAGGAUGAGAACUGGAGGAAGGGAUGAAGGGUGAGAAGAGAGGAAAAAAGCAGGAAUAUUGAAAAAUGUGAAAGUGAAUUAGCAGAACAAUAUUAUGAAACUGAAAGCUGUUCCUUCAUCCCGUAAUUCCUUUGUAGUUGGUGGAGAUUGUAAUCACAAUGCUACUGCUGCUUCUUCAUCUUCAUCAUCUUGUCAGAGACAAAGCAUAGUGAUAGUUGCCAACAAAAACAGGAAGCAGCAUGAGACUCAGGGUUCAGAAUCAUCUCCUCCAAGAAUCACAUCCAACGUCAAGCAAAACCUCCGCUUCCUCAAGCUAUGGAAGAGCUUCCAAAAUAGAAAUUCUGCCACUCCCAGACCUUCAACCAGUUACCGCAAGAAGAAGGUGGAGAAGGAUGAGGAUGUUGUAGACACCGACCUCUAUCGUGACCCCACCUCCUCUCUCUACUAUACCAAUCAGGUGGGUAUAGACAAUGCUGUCCCUGUAUUGCUUGUGGAUGGUUAUAAUGUUUGUGGCUAUUGGAUGAAACUCAAGAAACAUUUCAUGAAAGGAAGACUUGAUAUUGCUCGUCAAAAGCUAAUUGACGAGCUUGUAACCUUCAGCAUGCUUAGAGAGGUCAAAGUGGUUGUUGUCUUUGAUGCAAUGAUGUCUGGACUCCCCAGCCACAAAGAAGAUUUCGCAGGUCUUGAUAUUAUUUUCUCAGGGGAAACAUGCGCUGAUACAUGGAUUGAAAAAGAGGUUGCAGCUUUAAGAGAGGAUGGUUGCCCCAAAGUCUGGGUAGUCACUUCUGAUCAUUGCCACCAGCAAGCAGCACAUGGAGCUGUAUGCUUCUUUCCUAUAAAUUGAAAACUUGAGUGAAACGGAUGCAACUUGAUUGUCAAUUGUCUUCACAAUUGUUUUCCAGCUAUGAGGAGCCUUUAUUUGGAGUUGCAAGGCGUUAGUAACUGAGAUCAAAGCAUCGCAAAAGGAGGUUGAAAAGAUGCUUCAAGAGCAAAGAUCCACCUCUUUUCAAGGUAGAUUAUUGAAGCACAAUCUUGAUGCAGAAGUAGUGGAUGCCCUAAAGGACCUGAGGAAACAACUAUCUGAAAAUGAGUUGAAGUAAAAUAUCAUGUCUGACAGGAAAAUUCUCUACAAG